CGGCGGACGGGUGAGUAACGCGUGGGUAACCUGCCUCAAAGAGGGGGACAACAGUUGGAAACGACUGCUAAUACCGCAUAAGCCCACGGCUCGGCAUCGAGCAGAGGGAAAAGGAGUGAUCCGCUUUGAGAUGGCCUCGCGUCCGAUUAGCUAGUUGGUGAGGUAACGGCCCACCAAGGCAACGAUCGGUAGCCGGACUGAGAGGUUGAACGGCCACAUUGGGACUGAGACACGGCCCAG
rnacentral:rRNA from 1 species